GCAGCAGCAGCAGCAGACAGCGUCACCCAUCCACUCUGUUGCCCACACAUGCGUUAGAGAAGGGAGGAGGGCGCUGCCGGAUCAGGUCGAUUCGACUCCCCCUCCGCUGGACUGAUCACACUGAUUGAUCGUCGAGGUGCGUCCCGGAGGAACCCCUGCGAGGAGCUCGGAGAGGUGGGAAAGUUGGGGGGGGAGACCGCUGUGUGGUCGCAGAUGACACGCAGAAGAAAGUGUGUGGGCGGAUGAGGAAGUUCAGAGCACGGAUUGAUGGUCACACACCUAGAUUGUACUGGCAGCAGCACAACCGCCGGACUCUCCGUCCUCCAGCAGUUUCUGUAAUCAGAGGUGAUCCGCGCAUGGGAAAAUGACAAUCAAGUUUGUGGUCAUCCUCUUCACACUUCUGCUCAUUCAAGGUGCUCGUUCUGAUCUACUGGAAUAUGGCGACUAUGAAGAUCACCACGAUACCACCGUCAAUCAAAUGCUGGUUCCCAGGUCGCACCAGGAGGAUGCCACACUUAUACUGAACAAUUUGCUUAAGGAAUAUGACAAGACGCUGCGGCCGGACAUUGGAGUGAAACCGACAGUCAUCGAUGUGGGCAUAUAUGUCAACAGCAUCGGGCCUGUGUCAUCCAUUGAUAUGGAGUACCAGAUUGAUAUUAUCUUCGCCCAGACCUGGGUGGACACCCGUCUGCGGUAUAACAGCAGCAGCAGCAUGCCGACUCUAACCCUCAACAGCAAUAUGGUCGGCUUGAUCUGGCUGCCUGACACCAUCUUCAGGAAUUCCAAGAAUGCUGACUCUCACUGGAUAACAACGCCCAAUCAGCUGCUCCGGAUCAGGAACAAUGGGACAAUACUUUACACGCUGAGGAUGACCAUCAAUGCGGAAUGCCAGCUGCAACUCCAUAAUUUCCCAAUGGACGAACACUCCUGUCCUCUCGUCUUCUCCAGCUAUGGAUACCCGCGAGAUGAGAUUGUGUACAAGUGGGGACAAAACUCCGUGGCCACUUCAGACCAGAAGUACUGGAGGCUGUAUCAGUUUGAUUUCAUGGGGCUCAGGAACACCACAGAUGUGCUCACGACAACAGCAGGCGACUAUGUGUUGAUGACAGUUUACUUUGACCUCAGCAGAAGGAUGGGCUACUUCACCAUCCAGACCUACAUCCCCUGUAUCCUGACUGUGGUCCUCUCCUGGGUCUCCUUUUGGAUCAAGAGCGACGCCACGCCUGCAAGGACGGCCCUAGGCAUCACCACAGUGUUGACCAUGACCACCCUGAGCACGGUGGCUAGGAACUCGCUACCCAGAGUGUCCUACGUGACAGCCAUGGACCUGUUUGUCACUGUCUGCUUCCUGUUCGUCUUUGCCGCCAUGAUCGAAUAUGCCAUGCUCAACUACUACUCCUACAGUGUACGCAGGCCUCCUCCCAAGACACGGCGAAUGGCAACAUGAAAGGGGGAGUCGCUGAGAGGGGAACUAAAUGGAAGAGAAGACGAGGCUACAGCCAAUGAGAGUUUUCAACAUCGUCCCUGCAAAAUAACGCACUGUUAUAUGCUGUAAGCAUGACUACGCUGGACAGCUCAGAGUUGUGUAAAACUGAACACCUUGUCCAUAGAGGAAUUUUGCUGAAAGUCAAUGUAGGAGGCUUCAUAAAUUAAUCUCAAGUCCUGCUCUGAGGCAGCAUGCAGCCCCAACAACAUCCACCAGGAGGACAGUUUGCCGUGUAUGAUGCCUGAGAGGGAAUACCCAGGGCUCAUUAACUCCAAUUCCCUGAUAUCUAACUUGUCAGCGCAGAUGAAGAUUUUUCAUGCAUCUACUUCUGAAGUGGGUCCUGCUCUUUUUCCUCUGACACUCCCCCAUUCUUAGCCUCAUCGCCGGCCUUACGAGAGCAGAGGCUGUCCUAGUUGUGGUCUGCAGUUUCAUCCUGGGACGCAAGUCUUUGACUGCUUCUCUCCUCAUCCUCGUCUUCUUCCUCUGACACGCUCUCAUCUUCAUCACUGUCCUCACUGUCCCAGUCGUUGUCUGA